AUGGAUCAUUAAGAGGUUAGCAAACAUCCCUGUUUGACAAACCACUGUGGUACGAUGCAUGUUGUUUUGGCGGCGUGGUGUGCGUGCAAACGCGCAUGCGCCGCCAGCAUACAAACCCAAUCAACCAAUUUUAUACUACUCAGCUGUUCUGAUUACACUAUUUCGAUAGCAUAAUCCUAUACAACUGCUAGCAACGGAUCACUCGGCUCUC
rnacentral:misc_RNA from 1 species